AUUGAACGCUGGCGGCAGGCCUAACACAUGCAAGUCGAGCGAGCGGCGGACGGGUGAGUAAUGUCUGGGAAACUGCCUGAUGGAGGGGGAUAACUACUGGAAACGGUAGCUAAUACCGCAUACCAUCAGAUGUGCCCAGAUGGGAUUAGCUAGUGGGUGGGGUAAAGGCUCACCUAGGCGACGAUCCCUAGCUGGUCGGCGAGGAUGACCAGCCACACUGGAACUGAGACACGGCCCAGACUCCUACGGGAGGCAGCAGUGGGGAAUAUUGCGCAAUGGGCGCAAGCCUGAUGCAGCCAUGCCGCGUGUGUGAAGAAGGCCUUCGGGUUGUAAAGCACUUUCAGCGGGGAGGCGUUACUCGCAGAGGAAGCACCGGCUAACUCCGUGCCAGCAGCCGCGGUAAUUC
rnacentral:rRNA from 1 species